UCUUACAAGGUUAGAAAGGAGACUCGCCUUGCUCUAAAGAUCAAUAACCAGCAUUCCAUGCCAUUCCUAUGACUCAAAUUGAUGCAAGAUGCUCCGAAACUAGCCCAUUAUUAUGAAAAACCAUUAGUAUAGGCUCAAUUACUUAAUACAAUCCAAUGUAUAGCAAUUCCAAACCCCGAUAAAAAAGGUGACAAAAAUGCCCUCGGGCCCACGUGCUCGGAUUCCAAAAAUUUUCGAAGUUACCCAUAGCUUCACGAACUCAAAUAAAAUACUUUAUCUAUAUUCCAUACCCAAAAUUGUGGCCAAAUUCCAAGAAUAUAAAUUUCUGGGUCUUUCCUCAAACCCCCAUGUUUUCUAAAAAUUUCCAUGUCUCCAUCCAUAUAUAAACUUUGUAUUUAACUUAAAACUAGAAUAAAUUACUUACCUCCUGAUAAAUGAUGGAACCCUCUCUUUACAAGCUCCAACAAUCACCCAAGCAAAGAGAAAAAUGGGUGAAAUGAACUUAAACCCGAAUUUUAAAUAUUCUGCCUAGCCCAUGUCCGCCCUUCUUCGUGUUUGCGGCCCAUCUCUCACGUUAACGAAGGCCACUUAUCCAGCCCAUUUGCAUUCACAUACAAAGCCUCGCGUUCUCGUAGGCCAAAGAUCCCAAUCCCACCUUUUCCUUCUACACGUUCGCGAUCUCCUCCCUGUGUUCCCCUAGCAGCUCAGCCCACCCCUUCCCACUCACAACUUCUUAUUCGCGUUCGAGAAGGCCAAAUCCAGCAGCCUCCCACUUUCCUCUUUGCGUUCGCGAGACUCCCUUCACAUUCGCGAAGAAGGAAACCAGAUACUAGCAACCAACAACAACCUUUUACCCAGAUUUGAUCUGUUAAAAACCCGGAAUCCACCUAAGACCCUCGGGACCCCAACCAAUCAUACCAACCAGUCCCAAAACAUGUUACAGAUUUUCUCGAAGCCUCAAAUCAUAAUAAGCGAUGCCAAAACCAUGAAUCGACCUCCAAUCCAAGCUUUAUGAACAUUAGAACUUCAAACUUAUACUCUCGAUGUUUAAGCCUAUCAAAUCAAGUCCGAUUGACCUCAAAAUUUGCACAUAAGUCAUAUUCGACAUGGACCUAAUCCAACUUUCGGAAUCAGCUUUCGACCUCGAUAUCAAAAAGUCCACUUCCAGUCAAACUUCUCAAAGCCUUCAAAUUUUCAUCUUUAGCCAAAUGGCUCCAAAAUGACCUACACAUCUCUCAAUUAACUUCUGAUCGCGCUCCCGACUCCAGGAUCAUCACACGAAGCUAUUCAUAGGCUCGAAAUCUCAAAACGACAUCAAUAACACAGAAAUGCAUUUCAAGCCAAACUUAUAAAAUUCCUUCCAAAAUGCUAUCUUCCACAAUAAGCGCCAAAACGCUCCCGGGCUAUUCAAGACCCGAUCCAGGCAUACACCUAAGUCCGAAAUCAUCAUACGAAUUUGCUGAAACCUUCAGAUCCAGAUUCUAAGGUCGCUUACUUAAUAUCCAAUCUUAGUUAGUUCUUUCAACUUAAAGCUUUCGAAAUGAGAAUUCUCUUCCCAAAUCAACUCUGAACUUCCCGAAAUUCAAUUUCAACCAUGGGUACAAGUCAUAAUACCUUAAAUGAAGAGGAUCAUGGCCUCAGAAUGCGAAGCAACACGCUAGAGCUCAAAAAGACUAGUCGGGUCAUUACAUUGCCCUAUACUGACAUUCACACUGUACCUGCAGAAAUCCAUCGCAGGUGUGGCUCUAAAUCAACCCAGGAGCUUCCGCUUCUACGAUCUCCCUUCCGUAUCUGCGCCUUUGAUAACUAUGGAUUUUGACAUGUUUCAUGCUCCUUCUUGCAUGCUUUGAUUAUAAAUUCUUACAAAAUAGUCCCGAAAGGCUCAUAAGUUGUGCUUGAUUGCAGGUUUGAUCGACAAAGUGACAAAAUGACUAAGAUCGGCUCAAAAGGAGUGAAACUUGAUCAAGUACCCAAGACAAGGCAAAACUCAGGAGAACAGGCCUAGUGUGGCCGCACUACUCUUUGUGCGGUCCGCAUUAGAGAGAUUCAGAGAGUUAGAAUCUAAGGCUUCAAGAAACGGGGCCGCAUACCAUUCUGCACGGUCCAUGGUGAAGGCUUCACCGUCGCACUACCAUAUUGUACGGUCCACAGAAGAGAAGUUCAGAGAGAGGACAUAUGCCCAGGUUCAAUUCAUCGUGGUCCAUGGUCAUUAUUGUGCGGACCGCAUUAGAGACCUUCAUGGCCGCGGUCCAUUUUGCACGGUCUGCGUAGCCUGAGUUCAGAAAGCCAAGAUUGUAAGUCCAAGAGCCUAGUGCAGCUGUAGUACAUUUUGUGCGGCCCGCACUAACACCAUAGGGGAAUUUUUGUCUAGCGUUUCCAGCUUAGUAUAAGUAGAACAUUUUGCCAGUUUAGGGUAUUAGAUAUUAUAGAACUAUAGAUAUUAUAGAACUAUAGCAGCAGUCUUGAGAUGUUAUUUUGUAGCCAUUUUGGGCAUCUUAGCUUUACUUUAAUAUAGAUUCUCAGUAUUUUCUUUAUUUUAAAUUAAUAUGUCUUUUACUUCAUCUAUUUCUCCAUUUUCUUCUUCAGGCAUGAGUAGCUAAACCCAUUAGCUAGGGUUGUGGCUCAAUCCUAGUAUGGGUAAUUGAUGGCUGUUGCAAUUUUAGGGUAGAUUUACCAUGGGUUUUUGUUAUUUGGGUCAAUUUUAUGGUUUAAUUUAUGAAUUAGUGGUUGCAAAUACUGGUUUGUGCUAAGUUGACUUAGCUCUUCCUGAGAAAGAGAGCAUAAGUCUCCAAAACUAACCCAACAAGGAAUUGGGAUGGACUUAAGAGAAUUGAUAGUUCCAAUUAAAGGUUAAAUCUUGAGAGAGUAAUUACCCGACUUGAACCCUAGUUCAUUGAGAAAAUUUGCCUACCUAUUUGGUCCUGAAAAAGUCAAUUGGAAAAAAUCAUUCUUUCUACUGAGAGGUGUCAGAGUGGGUAAAAUCGUGCAACAGUUAUAGCAAAUUUCCCCAAUCAUGUCAAAUGUGCCUUAGAAGCAAUUACCCGUCAAUUAGCCACCUAGGUGAAAGUCACUACCCUAGUGCCUUUUAACUAUUAGAUAUAAUUCUUUGCAAUUUUCACUUAGCAUAAUUAGUUAUAAUUAGUUUUUGAUAAUCUUAGAUUGUUAAAUAAAACCUAAUAGAUGAUGAGAACAUCAAUUAAGAACACACUUAUAAUUCUUAGCUAGAUAGAUACCUAACUCCAAUUCUAGCUCUCUAUGAAUUCGAUCCCGACCCCAAAUUGGGCAAAAGAUAUUGCGACCCUCUCUUGCUACUCUUUAGUAGUGCGGAGUUGGACCGCGAUCAACUUUCUGGUGCCGUUACCGGGAAACUAACGAUUUUAGCUAUCUAUUUAGUUAGUUUUGUGUGUUUCUUCUUUCCUUCUUUGUUACUUAUUUGUUUGUGUCAAUUAUUCAGGUACCAAAUAGCUUUAAAUGCUAAUGACCAUCUUGGAAACGUGAUAGCGAGGGAGGAGGUAGAUGAUCUUGAGCACGAUGAGGUACCUCUAGCACCUCAAGGACAACGGAGAGGCCAGAAUCCAAUGCAAAUGCUAUUACAAAUGAUAAUAUUCUAGACCAUCCUCUGCCACCUCCAAGAGCGGCUCCCAGAGUAUUGUCGAAUCAAGGGUAUGUGAGUGCUAUUGUCCCUCCCUGAAUUCGGGCGGGGAAUUUUCAAAUAACCAAUGUGAUGUUGACUUUACUUAAGCAGUAUGAGUACUUCACGGGCACUGCAAAUCAAAAUUCCUACAAAUAUCUAAAGGGAUUUGUAGAUACAUACUGGAGAGAAAGCAGACGAAUGUGUCCGGGGAUGUGUUGAUAUCGAGACUUUUCCCAUUCUCACUUUGGGUAAGGGCAUUAGAUUGGCUUGAGAGACUCCCCAACCAUUCCAUCACAACUUGGGAUGAGUUGGCGGAUAAAUGUUUUUGCAAGUUCUUCUCACCGAGUCAUAUGGUGGCACUUCGGGAUGAAAAUUUAGCCUUCAAACAAGGGCCAACAGAACCACUCCAUGAAAUUUGGUAACGGUAAAGGACCAUGGUGAAAGAGUGCCCGAAUAACGAUAUGACCGAGGUGAUGAUUCAACAAAGGUUUUAUCAGGGCAUCACCACCACAAAUCAGUGCAUUGUGAACCAAUUGGCCGGGGUUAAUUUUAUGAAACUUUCUUAUGAUGAGGCAUAUAAUGUACUUGAUGAAAUGGCCGACACUUCUUCAGUAUGGCAAAGUAGAGAAAAUGUGUCCCUAAGUGACCCUACGGUCAUCCAUUUGCACAAGAAAUUGCAUGAUCAUUGUCAAGCUAUUUCCGAGUGCACUACUACUAUGAACCAAUUGGCAAAGGCACAGUUGCAACAAGUCCAAAAUCCGCGCCAAGUCAACACCACAGAAGGUGUCAAUAUGCUUAAGAGAAGACAAAGAGGACAACAAUCUCAAGGGAAUUUUGAAUAAUAUGACAAUGAUGGAGGUGGUUUUUCAAAUGAGUGUUAUGAUGACCAAAGCGAGGAGGUUCAGUUUGUUGACAACUAUCAAGGCAAUAGAGGCAAAUCUUCAAACUAACAAUGGCGACCCUAAGGAAAUUGGGGCAAGCAAAAACAAGGUGGUGACAACUGGAACAACAACAAUGAACAGUAAGGAGAUGGCAAUUGGAACAAUAACAAUCAACAACAAGGAAGUUGCAAUUGGAACAAUAACAGCCAAAACAAUAAUUGGGGGAACCAAAAUAACAACCAAGGCAAUUGGAAUGGAAAUUACAAUAAUUGGAGCAACAACAACAAUCAAGGCAGGUGGAACAACAAUGGGAACCAAGGCAACUGGGGGCAAGGCUUUCAAAGGCCCCCAAUGUACCUGUGAGCACGUGAUUUUUUCCCUACACAAAUUACUCCUAUAAAUUCAAACAAAAUAAUUUUUGUUAUUUGUUUGCAAUUUUGUGGAUUUUGUGGCAUUUUUUGUUAAUUUUUUACAUUUUGUUUACGCAUUUUAAUUAGUGAAAAAUACAAAAAUAUGUUGCUUGUGCAUUUAGGAGUUAAUUUCAUUUUAAGAAUUAUUCAGUAAUUUAGUCAUUUUAUAAAAAAUAAAAAAUUGAAAAAAUAUAACCGAGCAAUCCACCCCAUUUCCCUUCUCAAGGUCCUAGUUGUUCUGGAGGUUAUCUGGGAAGAAUUUAAAGUAUGUUCAAGCAAACGUUGAAAAAGAACCAAGAUUCUGAUGUUCAAUUGGCUUUACACGUUACCUUCAUCUGGAACUUGGAGGUACAAUUAGGCCAAAUCUCUCAAUCUUUGAACACUCUCCCCAAGGGUGCCCUACCAAGUGACAUGGUAGUGAACCCGAAAGGCUGGAAUAAUAGUCAUAUGAUGGCGGUUACAACAAGAAGAGGGAGAGGCGGUGAUCUGAAUGCCUCAAGAGAAAAGCAAGUUGUAGAUGAUGAUAUUGAGUUUCGGGAUGAUGAGGGACCUUUGAUUGUGGAUGAUGUGGUUGAAUAAAACAUGAAUAACGAUGUAAGGAUUGACAUAGAUGAAGCCAAGGUAGAAACUUAAGAUGCGGUGAACCUGUCUAAGGAACACGUGAUUGACGUGCCCAAGCCGGUUGUGCCAAAAGUCAAGGCACCCUUGCCUAGGCAACCUCCACCUUUAAAGGCUCGCAAAGCAAAGAAAUGAUAAUCAAUUUAAGAAGUUCAUUGAUAUGAUGAAGAGUUUGUCCAUAAAUAUGCCUUUGGUGGAGGCCCUUGAACAAAUCCGGGAAAUGUAAAAUUCAUGAAAGAUUUGGUUACAAUGAAAAGGUCUAUGGAUUGUGAAACAAUAAAGAUGACUCACCAAGUGAGUGCCAUAGUGCAUUCAAUCACACUUAAGCUUGAAGACACCGAAGCCUUUACUAUUCCUUGUACUAUUGGAAGUGAAAACUUUGCUAGAGCUUUAUGAGACUUGGGAGCUAGUAUCAAUUUGAUACCGUACUCGAUUAAAAAGACUUUGGGUAUUGGGAAACCUAGACCAACUUCAAUGAGGCUUCAAAUGGCGAAUCGAUCGAUGAAGAGACCCUUGGAAAUUAUUGAUGAUGUGCUUGUCCGGGUGGACAAAUUCAUAUUUCUAGCUGACUUAGUCAUUUUGGAUUAGACGAUAAGGUUCCGAUUAUCUUAGUUAGACCUUUCCUUGAAAGGGGGAAGAAGUUGGUUGAUGUUGAAGCAGGUGAGCUCACUUUCUGAGUGGUUGAUGAAAAGGUCGCCUUCCAUGUUUGCAAAUCCAUGAAGUAAUCCAAUAGCACCGAGAUAUGCUCAUUUGUAGACCUUGUCACAACUGUGAUAGUGGAUGAUAACAGUGCUAUGAUCAACAUGGAGGAUCCUCUUGAGGCCAUGCUGUUAAAUAUGGAUGUCAAUGAUGAUGCAAGCAGAGUGGAGUGCGUGAAUUCCUUACAUGUGAUGGGCUCUUAUUCUUAUAAGCUAAGAAAAUUGUCUUUGGAUCUUGAAAACCGGAAAAAUCCACCAACAAAGCCAUCAAUUUAGGAGCCACCGUUGUUGGAGUUAAAACCACUUCCUCCACACCUCACGUAUGAAUUCUUUGACUAAAAUUCUACUUUAUCAGUUAUUAUUUCUUCUUGCCUUACUAACAUGCAGGUUGAGGCCACUUUGGCAGUGCUUCAAAAGCAGAAAAGGGAAAUUGGAUAGAUGCUAGCUGCGGGGAAUAAGCCCCGCAUUUUGCAUGCACAAAAUUAUCUUGGAGGAUUACGCAAAGCCUUCCUUGGAGAAUCAAAGAAGAUUCGAGGCUAUGCAAGCGCUGGUAAAGAAAGAUGUGAUCAAAUUGUUAGAUGCCGGGGUUGUGUACCCAAUUUCUGAUAGCUCGUGUACUUCUCCGGUGCAAUGUGUGCCGAAGAAGGGUGGUAUGACUGUGGUGCCCAAUGAAAGCAAUGAACUUGUUCCUACUCGGAUGGUCACCGGAUGGAGAGUAUGUAUGGAUUACCGGAAACUAAACAAGGUGACCUGAAAGGACCAUUUCCCAUUGCCAUUACUUGACCAAAUGUUAGAUCGUCUUGCGGGGCGUGCUUUUUAUUGCUUUCUGGAUGGUUACUUUGGGUACAACCAAAUUUUAAUUGCCCCGGAUGAUCAAGUGAAUACAACUUUUACCUGUCCGUGUGGCACAUUCGAUAUCUCUCGGAUGUCGUUCGGAUUGUGUAAUGCUCCGGCGACCUUCCAACGAUGCAUGAUGGCUAUUUUCACCAACAUGGUGGAAGAUAUCUUGGAGGUCUUCAUGGAUGAUUUUUACUGUGGUUGGGGAUUCCUUGGACGGGUGUUUGGGUAACUUGGAUAAAGUGUUAGCCCGGUGUGAAAAUAGAAACCUUGUACUCAAUUGGGAAAAAUGCCAUUUCAGGGUUGAAGAUGGUAUAGUAUUGGGUCAUAAAAUUUAAAAGAGAGCAAUUGAAGUGGAUAAAGCCAAAAUAGAGGUGAUAUCCAGGCUUCCUCCUCCUAUUUCUCUAAAAUGGGUUAGGAGUUUUUUAAGGCACACGGGUUUUUACCGGAGCUUUAUAAAAGAUUUUCCAAAGUGGUACACUGUUUGUGCAAGUUGCUAGAGAAAGAUGCUAAGUUUGUGUUUGAUUAGAAAUGCAUGGAGUCCUUUGAACGUCUCAAGUACAAGUUUACCACCACUCCUAUUAUUACUGCAUCUAAUUGCAGCUUUCCCUUUGAGCUCAUGUGUGAUGUUAGCGAUAUGGCGGUUGGAUGAGUGUUAGGUCAACGUGUGAGAAAGAUGUUUCGUCCGGUGUAAUACACAAGCAUGACCAUGAAUAAGGCUCAGAAGAACUAUACGGACAUCGAGAAAGAGUUGUUAGCUACAGUGUUUGCUAUGGAAAAGUUUCGACCAUAUCUCAUGGGGGCGAAAGUUAUAAAGCACACUGAUCAUGCCGCCCUUAGGUAUUUGAUGAUAAAAAAAAAGUCAAAGGCAAGGUUGAUGAUAUGUGUGUUACUACUUCAAGAGUUUGAUGUAUAAAUUAUGGACCGGAAAGGUAGUGAGAAUCAAGUGGCGGGCCACUUAUCCCGUUUGGAGGAUGAGGGGAGGCCUUGUUAUGUCCUUGAGACCAAUUAUCUAUUUCCCGAUGAGCAACUCUUUGUGGUGUCAAUGAAUGAUAUUCCAUGGUUUACGAAUGUUGCUAAUUAUCUUGUGACUGAAAUAAUCUUGUAUGAUAUCUCUUCUAACUAAAGGAAGAAGCUCAAGCGGAUAGCUUGGAUUUUUAUUGGGACGAGCCAUAUUUGUUCAAGAUUUGCAUGGAUGAUGUGAUUCGUAAUGUGUCUCGGAGGAAGAACAAUCGGGUAUAUUGGAGGCUUGUCAUUCCUCUCCUUAUUAUGGCCAUCAUGUUGGGGCGAGGGCGGCUUCUAAUGUGCUUAGUUGUGGAUUCUAUUGGCCAACCUUGUUCAAAGAUGCGGGUGAUUUUGCGAAGAGAUGUGAUGAAUGCCAAAAAGUGGCGGAAUUUCCAAGAAAGGUGAGAUGCCUCUAAACACAAUUCUUGAAGUUGAUAUCUUUAAUGUAUGGGGUAUCGAUUUUAUGGUCCCUUUUGUUAGCUCAUGCAGUAACAGCUACAUUUUUGUAGCGGUUAAUUAUGUGUCAAAAAAGGUUGAGGUCGUGGCCUUGCCCAACAAUGAAGCUAGGGGUGUGGUGGCAUUUCUAAAUAAGAGAAUUUUCACAAGGUUUGGCACUCCUCAUGCUAUUAAUAGUGAUGGUGGGUCUCAUUUUUGCAACAAAGCUUUCGACACAAUGAUUUCUAUGUACUAUGUCAAUCACAAGGUUUCAAUCCCCUAUCAUCCCCAAGAAAGUGGCUAGGAGGAAGCCUACAAUAUGGAAAUCAAGAGUAUCUUGUCAAAGAAGGUCAAAGCUAAUAGGACUGAUUGGUCGAAAAAAUUGUAUGACGCUCUAUGGGCUUACCAGACCGCUUACAAGACCCCAGUUGGUAUGUCAUCGUACCGGUUGUGUUUUGGAAAUAAUGUCAUCUACUGUGGAGUUGGAGCAUAAGGCCAUGUGGGCCUUGAGGAAACUUAUUCUUGAGUGGAAUGUUGCAACCAAUCUUCGUGUUGAACAACUUAAUGAACUUGACGAAUUUCAGCUCCAUGCAUACUUUAGUUCAUCCUUGUAUAAGAACAAGAUGAAGUACCUUCAUGAUAAAUAUGCUCGUGGAAAGGAUUUAAAAGUUGGUGAUAGCAAAGUGGAGUGGGACAUUUGUGUGUUCGUGCUCCCUUUUGGUGCUAUUGAUCUCAAGAACAAAAAUGGUAAAGUUUUCAGAGUAAACGGGCCCCAGGUAAAGCAUUACCCAGGAAAGAUCGAUGAUAGCAACGUGGUGGCGCUUAUUCAUCUCAAGUGAUAUGGUAACAUGCGCCGUGCCGCAACAUUAAAUCAGGUGCUUCUUGGGAGGCAACCCAAGUCUUUUUCUUCUUGUUUUCUUUCAUUUUCUUCAUAGUUUAGGUUUUAUUUUUGGGCUAAUUGGUUGUGAGAUGUUGCAGGAAAUGACUUUAUGUAGUGGAAAACAUAGUAGAGAAAUUGUUCAGCCUUUGAAGUUGCCAGUGCAGCCGCAUUGCACUCUGUGCGGUCCGCACUAGUGUGAGCCAAUAUGAGAGAGCUCUCUGAAGUUUUCCACCGUGGCCGCAUUAUAUUUUGUGCGGACCACGGUUGACCUCCGCGGCUACGAUCUAUUUUGUGUGGACCACAGAGGUUUCCUUCUCAAGCUUCUUCUAAAAAAAUUCAGUGCGGGCCGCAUUUCAUUUUAUGCGGCCGCACUAGUAGGUAAGAGCAAGUCCUAGAGGUUUUUCUACAAAUAGACCACAAGGGGUUCCUGUUACCCUUUUCAAAAAAUUUACUCUCAAAGACCAAAAAAAUCAUUGUUCAUCUUCUUCUUUGACUGUGAUUCUUGCUCAGAGUGACUACAUGCAUUUCAUAUCCACACCUGGUAACAUUUCAAUCAUUUCUUUUUGCUUAAUUUUGUAAUUUCACUUCUGUUUCAUUCCCAUUAGCCCAUAGCUUCUUCUUUAUUCAUGUAUAUCUUCAAAUUAUAGGUUACUCUAGUUUAAUUGUUAAAUUUUGUGUGUUUGGUGAGCAUAGUUAACUGGGUAAACUGAGUAGGGACCCUAACUAGGUUUGAAUUGAACUAAAAUGCAAGAGCCAAGAACCCUAACUCGGUGCCUUGACUAAGCACCCUCCGAUGACCGUGGUCGUUUCUAUGCAGUCAGCAGUGCUCUGAUGCGGUCUGCGGUACCAUUUGUGCUGUUCGUGCUAGCCCACCGCGGCCGCAGUGAUAUUUUGUGCGUGCUGAAGUGGUUAGAUUCAGAUAGUGGUUUUCUAGACCUUUCCCCAGUGCGGACCGCGGUUGCUUUUAUGCGGUCUGUGGUGGCAUUAUUGCGGUUGCACUCCUUUUUGUGAGAUCCUCACUACACUGUGUCUGCAAUUCUUUUUUGGCUUCUGUUCUGCAAUGCAUUAUACACAUCUAUUUCACUUUCUCUAUUGAUAUUGACAAAGUUAGAUGUUUGUGCCUGCGGAUAAUAGUUAAACAAUGAGGGAAAAAAGGAUCAAAACAGCCCAGGAGAGGUGUAUCCUCCCGGGGUAGAAAGCAAAAGAUGAUCAAGCUCAGUCCCCAAGUUUGGGAGAGCAUAAAAAGAACAAGGAAGUUGAUAAAAGCUGCUGACAAGGGGACUGACAAAUUGAGGAGUGAGUUCGAGCCGUCUGAGGAAGUUUCAUCGAUUCUAUUCCUGCACAGAUUCGUGAUUGGACCGGAUGAAUGAGAUAGACCGAUGAUACUCCACCUCCAUCAUCCCCUGCCCAAGUAGUAGAUCAUGUCCCCACUGAGUCCUUUGAGGGCUCAGCAGCCGGCAGCGGUGAGUACUCCACCUCCCCCACAGCUUCAUUGUCUAGGGAGAGUGCAGACGGAGGUGAAGACGAGGUACAAGAGGGUGGUGAGCCUCAGUUUGGGGGUAUUUCUCGGACUAGAGAUCCUGCAGUUUGGGAGGAUAGGUUUGUCAACCAGGUAAUGAUCCACAAGUUUAGGGAAUGGUGGCUGGUAAGAAAGUUGAUUCUUGAGAGGAGCUUCAUUCAUAGAGACCUUCUACCCUUAAUCCCUUAUGUGCAUAGUCAGUUCCGAACUCGAGUGGGGUGGGAGACCUUCUUGUAUGAUUGUUUCAAUACCAAUGAACACAUGGUCAAGGAGAUUUAUAGCAAUGUAUCCCCCAUCUUGAAGGGCACCAAAGUUACCAAAGUUCGAAACAGAAAAGUGGUGUUUAGCGGGAAGGCAUUCAAUGAAUACUUGGGUUUCAAUAAAGAAGAUGAGUGCCUUUACAAUGAAUGUUAGCUAUGGGCGAGGAGGUUUGUCCUUGUUCAGCUUCAUACCUAGCAAUCCCGGGUACUGUUCCAGAUUGGUUAGCAGUUGGGGCAAAAAUACUUCGGAGGACCCUUAACAUUGAGGCAAAGGGUUGGUUGACUUUUGUGUGCAGCUGGCUUGAUCCCACUACCCAUGAUUCGACUCUUCCGCUUGAUCGGGUUGUUCUAGUUAUAUUAAUUAUGGCAGGAUAUCCCAUCAACGUGGGGAAUGUAAUGUCCCGCAUCAUUUUUUCAGUAGGGGUCGAGCAUUACUGAAACUACCCUUUUCCCAACACCCUUACUAUGUAUUUAUGGGACUUUGAGGUGGAGAAGAGAUCUUUUGACAUCAUGUUCAACCUUUGGCUUCAUUAUAUGGUAUAGUUUGAAGGGGCCAGACAACCCGAAGGACAAGAACUACAAGAUGCCUACUUCUAUCCCAAGUGGCCAGUCUGAAGAGCCGGUUGCGGUAGAGCCCUCCACUGAGCCUGACUCGGCUGUUGUUGAGUUGCCUCCUAGACUUUCCACUACAGCUGACUUGCCUUUUGGUCCUUCUACUUCAGCUGGCCUAGGUAUUCCAUCUUCCCGGGAACAUUCUAUCACUACCCACCAGCUGAGCCAGACACUUCAUAGCUUGAACAACUGGAUGGCGAUUACUUUAUCCAAGGUGUCCUCCUUGACUUCUACCAUUACAGCUCAGUCAGCACCACAGCCAACAUAGAUUCCAUAGUCUAUAGAGGAUGCACUUAAGGAAAUAUUUUCCAACGAGAAGAAGAUCCUCAGUACUCUGAGUGCCUUGGGUACGACAGUAGAUUUACAUGGCAACUCUCUAAAGGAUCUUGCAAAGGAGCACAAGAAGCUACGCAAGACGCGGGUCUCCAAGGAGUCCGUAAAGGAGUUGAGAGUAGAUGUGGAUAAACUGAUGGUAGAACAACUGCCUUUAGACUUGCUAUUUGAGGACCCAACUCUAGCAGCAGUGCCAGCAGUAGAGUCACAACAGGAGCAGUCACAAAGGCCUCCAAAUAGGAAGAGGAUGAUGCCGAGCACAGAUGAUGCCAUCAUCCAGUUGGCGGACCCCUUGGAGGCUUCUUCCAGCCAGCCAUAGGAUGUACUUGAGUCAUAGCCUAUCCAAGUCCAAGCCUCACUCCCAGCAGCUGUAUAGCAGGAUAUCGGGAACCAGUCUGAGGUUCCCAUGCAUACAGAGACCUGGGGACCACUGAUGAUCCUAUGCAGACGGACACAACUUAGGGAGUCUUCAUAUCCUUCCUCUAUUUUAGUUUUAGUGCUUAUUUGUUUUAGUUGGCAUUGGGGACAAUGCCAGAUUUUAUUUGAGGGGGUGCGAACUUUAUCUUUGGAUGACUGUACAUACAUACUGAUUUAGUUUAUGCUUUUCUUUAUAUUCAUUUGGUUUAUAUAUGUCUUACAUGAAGUUACUUUUAUCGCACCUUUUAUCUUUCACUUGGAAUGUAUAUAAAGUUACUUCUAUGUUCAUAUUCAUUUCUCGUUGUAUAUUCAAAUCCCUUAUUGUAAAUAUUUUUUCGAUUUUUGCAUAAAAAUUUCGUUUUUAGCUUCUUAUUUAUGUUCCUAGCUUUUUGUUUCGUUUUUGACGUUUUGAAUAACCCUUUGUUUUCUUGAUGCUACGGUUUUUUCCAAAGGUGGAGUUUUAUGUGAACCGGGUGGCUCUUCCCAAUGAUGGAUGGCGUGACAAUAUUCUUAAGGGUUUUUUUUGUAGAUUGUAGUUAAGAGUACCUCAAGCAAAGCUUCACUUGGGUCUAGAACAUUUGCCUAUGAUGCCAUGGUCAAAGACAAAUUGUUGUGUGUAGGAUGGUGAAAGUUGUGGCCUCGAGACGCUUGUGUUGGCCGAUAAUCAUCAAGUGUUUUUUGGGACCAUUGCGUGCUCAAAUCGUAUUCUAAGGUUGUUGUGGGCCCCCAACUCUAUGUCUUUAACAAUCCUUCAGAUUGUGUUGUGAGAAAUCAAAUAUCGAGUCCAAGUCGCAAGCCAAUGGUCUAGAACAUGCCUUGAAUGUUUGUUGAGGCGAAAUCAUAAGUGAAAUUUGACUUAUGAAGUGAUUAUAGGCUCUCCUUGAUCCAAAUGAUAGUUUGAACUAUAUCAUAGCCUACCAAUGAUACGAUCCCUAGUUAACCCUUUUGAGCCUUUAACCUUUUUUUUCAAGAAUCAUGUUACAAGCCUAUGCUCGUUCUAAAAGAUACCCUCUUUUUGCACCCGAUCUUUUCUUGAGCACAUGGCAAAAGUAUAAGUUUUGGAGGGAGAGACGAAGAUGACAACAAAGUGGUAUAAGGCACAAAAAUGAAGAAAAGGAAAGACAACGAAAAAGAAAGAAAAGAAAAAAGACAAAAAGAAUGCUCAAUGUGAGAAAGAAUAAAAAGGGAUUCGAGAAAAGUAAAAGAAAGAAAGGUGUGGAAAGUAAUAAAAGGAGAAAAGAAUUGAAAUAUAUAAGAAAGAGUGACAAUGUUUCUCUCUAACCCCUUAGAAAGAGGUGUAAUGACUCAAAGAGUCAAGAGAAUUGUGCAAAAUGAAUCAAAAGAAGUGCUUAAGGGAAGAUAGAACCCACAUAGACCAAAAUAUUUCCUACCCUGAACAAAAGCCUUCACAAUGACUCCACAAAAGCCCUAUAUGAUAUUGAGUUGAAUUAAGAUUGCAUCAGUGGAUACUUACAUGAGGGGCAAGCAUAUGGCACUUAGAGCCGGACUUCUGACCUUUUAUUGAGAGAGAUGAGUGAAUUUUCAUUGACCUCGAUUUGUGUGUUAAUACUCUAAAAGGUGAGGUAUGCUUAAGGAGAUUUGAGGAUAAGAGAGUUUGGGUUUUACAACGACCGCAAGUAAUCGUGAAAGUUCUUUGAUGUAAUGAGUCAACUCUUGAUUCUCUUGUGUCAUACUUGGUCCAUGGUUUUCCAAAGGUUAAAUGUUGUUAAUGAUUCAUUGAGGGCAAUUGGUAGUCCCAAUUGAUGCUUGUUGAGGUUACUUUAGGAUAGCUGAAAAUACUUGAAUUUUCCCUUAAGGGGUGGGUCUUAAUUUGUUUGCUUGAGGACAAGCAAAAGAAUAAGUUUGGGGGAGUUGAUAACUAGGGAUUUUGACGUGUUUCAUGCUCCUUCUUUCUUAUGCUUUGAUUAUAAAUUCUUAAAAAAUUAUUCCAAAAGGCUCAUAAGUUGUGCUUGAUUGCAGGUUUGAUCGACAAAGUAACGAAAUGUCAAAGAUCAGCUCGAAACGAGUGAAGCCUCUUCAAGUACCUAAGACAAGGAAAAACUAAGGAGAACAGGCCUAGUGCGGCCGCACUACUCUUUGUGCGGUUUGCAGUAGAGAGAUUCAGAGAGUCAGAAUCUAAGGCUUGAAGCAACAUGGACGCAUACCAUUCUACGCAGUCUGCAGUGAAGGCUUCGCGGUUGCACUUACCAUAAUGUGCAGUCCGUGAAAGAGAAGUUCAGAGAGAGGACAUAUGCCCGGGUUCAAGUCAUCGCGGUUUGUGGUCAUUAUUGUGUGGACCACAUUGGAGACCUCCACAACCGCGGUCCAUUCUGCACGAUCAGUGGAGCUUGAGUUUAGAAAGCCAAGAUUGCAAGUCCAAGAGCCUAGUGCGGCCUUACUCCAUUUUGUGCGGCCCGCACUGACCCCGCAGGGGGAUUCAUGUCCAGUUUUUCCAGCAUCGUGUAAAUAGAACAUUUUGCCAUUUUUAGGGUAUCAGAUAUCAUAGAACUAUAGUUUCGGUCGUAAGAUGUUAUUUUGUAGCCAUUUUGGGCAUCUUAGCUUUACUUUAACAUAGAUUCUCAGUAUUUUCUUUAGUUUUUAAUUAAUAUGUCUUUUACUUCAUCUAUUUCUCCAUUUUAUUAUUCAAACAUGAGUACCUAAACCCAUUAGCUAGGGUUGUAGCUCAACCCUAGUGUGGGUAAUUGAUGAGUGUUGCAAUUUAAGGCUAGAUUGACUAUGGGUGUUUUUUAUUUGCGUCAAUUUUGUGGUAUAAUUUAUAAAUUGGUGGUUGCAAACACUGGUUUGUGGUAAGCUGACUUAACUCUUCUUGAGAAAGAGAGCAUAAGUCUCCAUAACUGACCCGACAAGGAAUUGGGAUGGGUUAAAAAGAAUUGAUAGUCCCAAUUAAAGGGUUAAACUUCGAGAGAGUAAUUACCUGACUUAAACCCUAGUUGCUUGAGCAAAUUUUCCUACCUAUUUGGUAUUGAGAAAGUCAAUUGGGUAAAAUCACUCUCUCUCUACUGAGAGGUAUUAGAGUGGAUAAAAUCGUGCAACAAUUAUAGCAUAUUUUCCAAAUCAUGUCAAGUUUGCCUUAGAAGCAAUUACCGUCAAUUAGCCACCUAAGCGAAAGUCACUACUCUAGUGCCUUUUAAACCAUUAGAUACAAUUUUUUUAUAAUUUUCAUCUAGCAUAAUUAGUUAUAAUUAGUACUUGAUAAUCUUAGAUUGUUAAAGAAAACCCAAAAAUGAUGAGAAGUUAAUUAAGAACCUUCACAAGUGCGGAUCUUCCCUUGCCUUGUGCUCCAGCCCACUUCUGCAACCCCUAGGCCGCUUAUGUGGCUCCGCACCUGCGGCCAAAACCUCGUAGGUACGGUUACACCAAAUGACAGCUUCCUCAAUGCUUCUUCAAAUUCUAAUUUCGAUCCGCUAACCACCUAAAAUCCAUCUAAGGCCCUUGGACCUCAUCCAAUCACACCAACCUAUUCCAAAACAUAACGUGAACCUGCUUCAGGCCUCAAAUUACAUCAAACAACGCCAAAACCACGAAUCCCACUCCAAUUCAAGUUUGAUUAACUUUAGAACUUCAAACUUCUUCAUUUGAUGCCGAAACCUAUCAACUCACGUCUUAUUGACCUCGAAUUUUGGGCGCAAGUCAUAUUCGAUAUUACAUACCUACUCCAACUUUCGAAAUCGAAAUACGGUCAUGAUAUAAAAAAUCCACCUCCGAUAAAACUUCUCAAAACCUUAAAAUUCCUAACUUUAGACAAAUGACUCACAGACCUCCGAAUCCACUUCUAGAUGUGCUCCCAAUUCUAGAAUCACCAUACGAAGCUAUUCCCAUACUCAGAAUCCCAAACAGACAUCGAUAAAACUUAAAUGCACUGUAAUCAAAAUUUAUAAAAUUCUUUCCAAAAUGCUAACUUCCACAAUAGGCACCGAAACUCCUCCUUCAUCCAAAAUCCAAUUCGGACUGACGCCCAAGUACGAAACCAUCAUAUGAACUUGUUGGAGCCUUCAAAUCUUGAUUCCGAGGUCAUUUACUCAAAGUCAACCCUUAGUCAGAUUCUUCCAACCCUGUGCUUUCGAAAUGAGAAUUCUCUUUUGCAAAUCAACUUUGAAUUCCCUGAAUCUCAAUUCAGACUAAGUGCACAAGUCAUAAUACUUGAAAUGAAGCUGUCAUGACCUCAAACUGCUGAAUAACGUGCUAAAGUUCAAAACGAUUUGUCGAAUUGUUACAUUUUGUAUGACACCUAAUUUUUUUUAUCCUAACACCAAUAACACACAAAAUAGAAAAAACGUUACACACACGCAUGUAUACAAUAAAUCAUAUUAAUUUACAAUAAAAUAUGUCAUAAAUUGAUGUGAUAAUAUACGUUAUUAAACAAGUUAAGUUACAAGUGAUAAAUGUGCACCUAAGAAAAUACACCUCACAUAUUAAUUUAAUACUUAUAGACAUCUCACUAUUCCGCAUUUUGAACUUAGUUAACGUUGGCUUGUCAAGUAGAAUCGUUGUCGCUUACUAAAAAGUUUUGCUUAUACCAUUAACUUGUCUUCCAACAUUUAAGCAAAUCAAGAUGCAGAUUAACAUUUCUAUUUGGACCACUAAUGAUCCUUAUUUGGAAAUCCAAUUUUAUAAUAAUAUCGUUAGUACUUUAAAAUGUUGGGAAUGGAAUGAAAUGGGAAAAUAUAAUUUAUAAAACAGAUACCAAAAAUUAAUUGAAUAGAGAUGCGUUCCUUUCCGACUUCCCUUGGUGCCCUAAAAAAGCACAUGAAGCCCAAUAUGCAUUGAUGCAACUUGCAGUCCAUUUUUGAGCGAAGGGUAACAGUAGUCAUUUUUAAGUCCGUUAUUUACAAUAUAUUUAUAAUUUUAGUUAUGUAAAGAUUAUCAAUUCGUCCAAACUUUAGAAAGAAUUUUUGAGCUGGUAAUUUAAAAUUCAGAACAUAAAUUAAAAUUUUCUAAUACAAUUUUUUAACUUUAGGACACGAUGUCCUGAUGUUUGAAUAUUGAGGUUUAAACUCUAGGACUUAAGGACGAAGUAUGCUGAAUUUACAUAUUCAGAACUUAGUGUGAAUUUUUUGAGCUAUUAAUUUGAAAUUCAAGACUAAGUGUCCUGAAUUUCUGAAAUACUAAUUUAAAAUUCAGCAUAUAAGAUUCAAAUUUUUUGACACAAUUUUCGAACUUUAGGAUCCUAUGUCCUGAAAUUUGAAUUUCGAGGUUUAAACUCUAUGAAACUGUGUCCUAAAGUUCAAGAGAAAUGAGUUAAUUUUUAAGUAUAUUAUAAACUAUGAAUAUAUUAAACAAUAUGGUUAAAAGUGACUACCUAGUAUCAUUUUCACUAAAAAGAAAUUUAGAGAUUUUUACCUAUGAACUAUACUACAUUAUAACUUAUUUAUUCCUACUAGAGAGGUUUUAACUUAACUAGAUUUUGGUUUACAAUAUACUAAUUAUAUGCAAAUUAGUAUUAAAUGAGCAUCCCUUAAUACCAAGCAAUCGUAUUUAACAUGAAACUAGUAUCUAUAAACGUGUGUUGCGCAUUAAUAAUGACACAUGGUGGUUUAAAAUUUUAUUAUAUGAAGGAAUAAUAACAUUUAAUUAAUGAGAGAAAUUUUAUAUAUGAUAUAUCUAAAUACAUAAAAAAUAUUGUUACAUUAACAUAAUACGUGAAUUCGAAAUGAAAGGAUAUUAUCAGAACUUGCAUAAUUAAUCAAUUUUAGUCAUGUUAAGUAGAUAAUUGUGUAUUGUGAUAUAAAGGAAUCUAAUGUGAUGAUAUUUUAUCGAACACUUCUUUAAAUUGACUUCUCACUUUAAAGUGCAACAUAUAGUUAUUCUUGUAAGAAAACAUAUAGUGAUAAAUAUAGUUCAAUAUUAAUAUGUUUGUCCUUGUGCUUUGUUUGUUAAAACUGCAAGUACAAACAUACUGAAAAUUAUUUUCACAAAAAAAAUUUUAAGAGAAUAUUAUUUAGUUUCGAAAGAUGAAAAGUGAAUUCGGGGAUAAAAACAUACUUAGAAGCACAUUGAGAAGUAUCAUAAGUUCUGCAUGUAUGACGUUAUUGUCAAAACUUCUAUCUACCAUAUGUGUGCAAUUAUAUAAACUAUUUGGGGAUCUACAUUUAGAGGGCAUGACAAACAUAUUUUUCUUCUAAAUCAACCUAUAUACUAUGAAAGAUAAAUUUCUAACUUAGUCUGUUAUAUAUACGGAGACACUAACAUACACAAGAAAUAAUGAACGUGACAACAAAUAUAUAAUGAUCUGAUUAGUCGUUUUGAGAUCUAGCACGUCGUUCAGCAGUCGGAGGGCAUGAGCAGCUUCAUUUUAGGUAUUAUGACUUGUACGCGUGGUCGAAAUUGAAUUUCAGAAAGUUCAGAGUUGAUUUGGAAAGAGAAUUCUCAUUUCGGAAGCUUUAAGUUGAAAUAAUUAACUAGGAUUAGAUUUUUGAGUAAAUGAACUCGGAAUCAGGAUCUGAAGAUUCCAGCAGGUUUGUAUAAUGAUUUUGGACUUAGGCAUGCUACACCUCCUUUUAUACCUGCACCUCCGGAAGGGUAUAAGGGAGUUUUUCUAACUUAAAGUGACAAUCGAAACGGGAUUCAUUUUAUUAAAAAUUUAGACUCACCACUUGGGAUAAUUAAUGGUGUCCCAAGUCACUGGUUUCAAAUUCCGAAUCGAGGAAAGAUUGACUCUAUAUUACAGUCCGCAAACCAGAAAUCCGGGUAAGGAAUUCUGUUAACUAGAAUUGCCUCCAAGGAUAUAUAAUUGCCUUAAAAUGUCCAAUAUAUAUACAUUGUUGGACCUUUUGAAUAACAACCAAGAAGAUCUUAUGAAAAUUGAACAUUUUCGUAGCGAAGAUGUAAAACGGAUAUUGGGCAUUUUAGAAAAAUAUUUCGUAAUUGAUUUAGCAAAAAAUAAGUUUUAGAACUAUUGGACUUACUUAGUGAAAAUAGAUUAAAAAUCUAUAGCACAAUUAAUAUAUUAAUAUAUGCAAAAUAAAUUCAGAAUUAAAUUGAAUAGAUGUAUCUAGGGAGAAUUUGCUUUAGAGAAACUAUUCCCUAUAUACACAUGUCGUGUUACUUCACAAUUUAAUCAAUUUAAAAAUUUUUAAAAGACCUAAAGAUAGGGAUUUAUCAAUAGGUAAUGUUGCACCAAUGCCCAACCAAAGGGCGAUUGCGGUACCAAUCAAAAAGACAGUCGUCGCUACUGGACGACGAAAUGAAUCUUGGAAUUUAUUAACAUUCUGUAAAAAAAGUAUUGUUAAUAAUCUCGCAGGUACUGAAACCAUUAAAAGAACCCCCAAUAAUUUAUUGGGCACUCUACAAAUUAUUUUAAAUACAGGAAAGAAAUAUCAUUCAGGUAAUAUUUCCAAAGGGGUUGUAGAUGGAUCUGCCGGUUCACCAAUCAUUGAUGGUUCUGAAACGGCUAAGCCUACAUUACAUGCAAUAGUACCUAGAAUUACUACUGGAAAAAUAUAUAAAAGAUCAUUGGGCCAUGCGGGCUCUCCAUAAUAAUUAUGNNNNNNNNNNNNNNNNNNNNNNNNNNNNNNNNNNNNNNNNNNNNNNNNNNNNNNNNNNNNNNNNNNNNNNNNNNNNNNNNNNNNNNNNNNNNNNNNNNNNNNNNNNNNNNNNNNNNNNNNNNNNNNNNNNNNNNNNNNNNNNNNNNNNNNNNNNNNNNNNNNNNNNNNNNNNNNNNNNNNNNNNNNNNNNNNNNNNNNNNNNNNNNNNNNNNNNNNNNNNNNNNNNUUAUAUAUGUAUAUAUAUAUAUAUAUGUAUAUAUAUAUGUAUAUAUAUAUGUAUAUAUAUAUAUAUAUGUUACCUGUAUUUACACAUACACAUAUAUGAUAUAGGAAUGGCUCAAUGUAAGAAAAAUUUUACUGAAUUCUUUUUUACGGUUGCAACUAUCCAUUACAAAACAAAGAAUUCCGUUCCUACAAGUAAAUACUCAAGACCCAAGUAGGCUUACAAAUCAGAUCAUGAUAUGAUCAAGUGCUUUCUGGGUCGUCUCAGACCUUCUAAUUGAUAUUUAUCUCCAAAAUAGUUGGAGAUACACAUACAAGGUUUGCUUGUUACUAAUAUAGUCUAGCCUCUCUUCUUCUUUAGAUCCCUUGUUUCACUCUGAUAGUAGUAUUGAUCGUGUCAAUGCAGAGGAAAUGAAUACAUUUACAUACUAUUUAAUCUUAUAAGUGACUAUUGAUCGUGUCAAUGGAGAGGAAAUGAAUACAUUUACAUACUAUUUAAUCUUAUAAUUGAACUAGAUAAAACAGAAUCUUGAUUUUGUUUUAUCUAGUUCACUUACACUGGAUCUUACGGAGCCUACUCAUGUACAACAUGAUUCGGACCUGAUCAUAGAAAAGAUUCUCUUUAAGCGAACCAGCCUAUCCUCUGUAUAGGGCUUACACGGAGAUUGGAACAUAGACACAUUUGGUUGUGAAUUCCCAUGCGGCAGGCAUAUAUCUACACAGACCAAUCAAUAGUUCAAGUCACACACUCCCAUAAUUCAUUUUCUCUUCACAAAAUUCCCUUCAAUCCCCCUGUUUAGUUGACAUGAAUAAUUAAAGGGAAAUAUCCAAAUCCAUGUCUUAUUAUUUUCAAUAAUCCAUACUUGUAGCAAUAAAAUACUAUAUAUUCCUCCACCAAGUGAUAAAUGAUUGAUUACAAAUAUUUAGGAUUUAUUUUUCUUUUCUCUGUAAAGGCCCAGAAAUACCUUGUUUACGUAUCAUUGGAAAGUGCAUUAACAUAAAUACGGCAGUAAGAAGCGGCAAUACAAAAGUGNNNNNNNNNNNNNNNNNNNNNNNNNNNNNNNNNNNNNNNNNNNUGUAAGAAGCGGCAAUACAAAAGUGUGUAAACUAUAAAAACGGGUCAAAGUAGAUUGUCCCACACUAGCGCUUCCAUGCAAUUAUUCGACCAAGGGUAAUCCUAUUACAGGAAUAGCGUCAGGGACACCUGAUUCUAUUUUCACUGCCCAAUAACCAACUUGGUCCUAAUGUAAGAAAUACCCAGUUACGCCAAAAUAUGCGGUUAAUACAUCCAGAACCACACCUGUAACCCAAGUCAAUUCGCGAGGUUUUUUAAAUCCACCGGUGAGAUUCACACGAAAUACGUGCAGGAUCAUCAUUAGGACCAUCAUACUUGCCGACCAUCGAUGAACUGAUCGGAUUAACCAACCAAAGUUGGCUUCAGUCAUAAUGUAUUGAAUAGAAGCAAAAGCCUCAGUAACGGUCGGACGAUAGUAAAAAGUAAUAGCAAACCCAGUAGCUACUUGUUCUAAAAAAUAAGUAAGCGCAAUUCCCCCAAAACAAUAAAAUAUAUUGAUGUGGGGAGGAACGUAUUUACUAGUUAUAUCAUCCGCAAUUGCUUGAAUCUCGAGACGUUCUUCAAACCAAUCAUAUACUUUAUUGAGAUAGGCAAAACUCCCCCUCUCAGAACCGUAUAUGAGACUUUCAUCUCGUACAACUCAAGCAAAAACACCCAAAUACUAGUUGCAACGGAUAUGGAAUAGAAAAUUUUAAAUUUAUAGGCAUAACUCCCCCUAUGAGAACCGUAUAUGAGAAUUUCAUCUCGUACAACUUAAGCAAUAACACCCCACUACAGUUGCAACUGAUAUGGAAUAGAAAGUUUGAAAUUUAUUAAGUUCUCAUCCCAUCUUCUAUGGAAAAUCCGAAAGGUCUUCUUUGUGGCGAUAAUACCAACAUAUCAAGUUGGCGCAGUCGUCUUUAUCUUUAUUUUGAUACUUAUGGGCCUCUUGAAUUCUCUUUUUCCCUAUUUCUUCCUAGAAUUUGUUUUUGUUCAAGUUGGCGCAGUCGUCUUUAUCUUUAUUUUGAUACUUAUGGGCCUCUUGAAUUCUCUUAUUCCUAUUUCUUCCUAGAAUUUAUUUUUCUGGAAUAUGGCUUUUAUUAUUUGUUUUCUUUAUUAUUGAUAGGAAUUCUCUUGUUAUGACCUUAUGGAUCGAUUAAAACCUCAGAUUCAUACUAGAACCACGAUGAUUCAAUAAAAAAAACCUAACCUAAACCAAAUCAAGGAUUCCAUGAGUAAGAAUCCUCGGAUCAUCACUUAUUCCCUGAAUAAAUAGAAUGACUAAAAAUUCAAAGAAAGGUUUUGAUUUUGGUCAAAAUAUAAAUAGGGGUUGAAAGAAAAGAAUCUUUCAAUUUAGAAAUUAGAAUUCUUUGAAAAUGUUUUGGAGCCCGAACACAAGGUCUGAAUAUUAAGUAUGAAUCAAAGUUCAAAUAUUUCUUAAUCUAUUUCGUGUUCCAAAUAUUAGAAUAAAUAUUUGACGAAGUAGAACCAUCUCUAUCAAGAUGACAGACACAUUCUCUGUACUAUCAAUAGGAUCAAUUAUAAUAAGUCACACAGUCAUACUCCGGAAAUACAGAAACAAAGAAAUUCCACGAUCGAACUACCAGAUGAAAAUAGAAUGGACUAAAAAUCAGAGCUCUAAAUGAUUCAAUUUGGACUCAAAAGCAAAAACUUUGCGGUUCUUAUAGAUCUAAUUCAUUGAAAUUCCAUCCAAUAAAAUGAAAGAAUUAUAAAUCUCCAAAAUAAUAGAUAGAAAUACCGCAAAUAAGGCCAUUGCGACAUCCAUCAAAGGAGUAGUUCCCCACCCAGGAGCUACUUUACCAUAUUCCGAAUUCAAUC
rnacentral:lncRNA from 1 species